rnacentral:rRNA from 1 species
UACGUAGGUGGCAAGCGUUGUCCGGAUUUAUUGGGUUUAAAGGGCUCGUAGGUGGCCAACUAAGUCAGACGUGAAAUCCCUCGGCUUAACCGGGGAACUGCGUCUGAUACUGGAUGGCUUGAGUUCGGGAGAGGGAUGCGGAAUUCCAGGUGUAGCAGUGAAAUGCGUAGAGAUGUGGAGGAACACCGAUGGCGAAGGCAGCCCCCUGGGGUAACACUGACGCUCAUGCACGAAAGCGUGGGGAGCAAACAGG